UAUGGCAGAUUAGUGCCUUGGACUUAAACCCCAAAAAUAAAGUAUCCUUUUAUUGGAA
rnacentral:tRNA from 1 species